GGGGAUGACUGGUUUCGACUUGGAACGGUAGUUCUAGGAGAAGCGGGCCGAGGACUCAGGGUUAUCUCGUAAACGAUCCUUGAAACCAAUAAGUGCCAACGAUGUUCGCACUGACUUCGCUCUCGCUGCCUGAUCAGCGAUCGAAGGGUCAGCCUGAGGGUGCCUUCACCUCAGACACUGGCCUCAUUUUGAAGGCUCACCUUGACGCUUUCGUCUUAGGGGCGUGAAGGGAAAACAAUAAGACUGGGCUUGUUCAUGACGUGCUUCCGAGAGCAUGAGAGCCAAGUAGAGCGAUAAGUGAAGCUGCGCCCGGAGAAUGUCUAGUUCGCCUUUCGAGGACGGGGGUUCGAUUCCCCCCAUCUCCACAG
rnacentral:tmRNA from 1 species